GCUUGUCUCAAAGAUUAAGCCAUGCAUGUCUUAGUGUAAAUAACUCUUAUGAAACUGCGAAUGGCUCAUUAAAACAGUUAUAGUUUAUUUGGUAAUCGAAUUUACAUGGAUAACCGUGGUAAUUCUAGAGCUAAUACAUGCUAUCAAGCCCGACUUCUUGAAGGGUUGUAUUUAUUAGACUUAAGCCAAUAUUCCUUGUGUCUAUUGCGAUGAUUCAUAAUAACUGAUCGAAUCUCAAAUUUGAGAUAAAUCAUUCAAGUUUCUGCCCUAUCAGCUUUCGAUGGUAGUGUAUUGGACUACCAUGGCAGUAACGGGUAACGAAGAAUUAGGGUUCGAUUUCGGAGAGGGAGCAUGAGAAACGGCUACCACAUCCAAGGAAGGCAGCAGG
rnacentral:rRNA from 1 species